rnacentral:tRNA from 1 species
GUUACCGUAGCUUAAAACCACAAAGCACGGCCCUGAAGUUGCCGUAAUGGACCCCCACACACUCCCGGAAACA